CUGGUGUGAAGGCUGAUUGGACACUCUUAGGGUUGAUGGGUCAUUCUGCUGGCAAUGAUAAUAUAUUGAAAGUUAUUGAAAGAAAUGAAACCUUAGCUAAAGUUAGUUGUAAAUUGUCUUUUUGUUUGAGUCCUUCUCUCAUGCAGGCUGUGUCAUUUAUUGAGCCAAUGAGCUAUUCAUUUGAAAAGGAGCUGUCGUAUUCCCUCCCUUCCCUCUGCUACGGGACCCAGUACUCUGAAGAGAACCCAAAGUGUAUUUAUGCUGACUUUGACUACAGACACUUUUAUAAUAAACUUCACUGCCCUAGGAUACAGAUGAGUGCUGUGGAAUAUGGUCAUUGUGAUAUUCUCAAUGAUUCCGGCUGGGAAUUAUGUCAUGUGUCACAUUCCUGCAAGACUAACACAACCAAUGAUCGAGUUCUCUAUCACAGGUUCAUAUCAGGACUAAUCACUGGAUUCUUUGGAUAUUACUUGCAAGACAGUCCCCCAUUGCUGUCUUAUCUUACUAAUCUUACUAAUAUACCAGUUGCUUUGGAGAACUUUAAAUACGACAUUAAAUGUUAAUCUUUGAUGAUACAUAAACAAAGAAUGAUUUUAUAUUAUUAUUAUAAAUUUUAGUUUUGCUUGUGUAAUGUUUAUAAUUCAGUUCAUUUCGAUGGUGCAUUCCCUUGUGUAAACGUUAGCGUUAUUUUGUGAAUUGACUGCAUUCACUUUCAAUAUGCUACCUACCAUUUACUCAAACGUAACUGUUGAAGAAGUCUUCUCUUGUACAUUUUAUUGAAAAUGGCUUGUAAGGAGUUGAGCACUGAGUAUCUCAUUGAAGAAAAGGUUGCAACUGGGAGACCGCCAACUAAAUACCAUCAAAAAAGAAAUCAAAAGGGUGGACAUAGCCACAGUCCUUCAAAAUAUGGCUCAGUUCAAGGUGAUGUUGUCGUUUCUUCAUAUUACAAUGGAAAGCCUCAAAAUGUCAACAAACUCAUUCCUCACUUCUAUCUUGUCUUAGCACUGAUACUCUCAGUUCUAUUCAGCUUCACUGGAGUAUUGGCCUUUGCUUUAGUCUUUACCAUACCUGCAGCAAUUUAUGCAAGAAAGGCUAUCAGAACUAGAGAUGAUCAGCUAAGAAGAUCAAGAUUGAAGUGUUCAAUUUAUUGCAGCAUAACUGGAUGUGUCGUAGGAUCUUUGUCUGGUCUUGUAGUUUUUUCUGGAAUCAUUGGCCUCCUCUGUACAAUCACCAUACUCCUCUUUAGAUUCAGCAUAUGCAAUCAGAUUGUUUCUAAAAAUUCUCAUGUAGAUUCGCAAUUUUUUCAUUUUACUGUAAACUUUAAAAGUUUAAUAUGUAAUGCAACAACUGAAGGGAAUUAGAUACUACACAUUGUGUUUCUUGUUAAAAAUAAAUAUAUAAUUUUUAUACUAUACAUUGUAUGAACAUAAAAGAAUCACCAUUGCCAUAUAAGGAAGUGUUGUACUACAGUAUUCAGAUCAAUAGUUACUGUGAAUGUGUGUUAAGAUCAACUAUCAACAGUAGCUACACUGCUAGUCUGAGUCAGCAGCUUAUGAUGGCAGGUCAGUGAGCAUUAACUCAUAAAUCACUUUUCACUCAUGCCCAGCAGGUCAACCACUUCUAUAUAACAAUGGACACCAUCAGGUUAGUACAAUAUGAUUAUUGUGUCCUUAGUAUGCUGAGUCAGUAGUAUCCUCAUUACAAUGGAGUCCAGUAUCCUCCACCACCAGCAGGAGGUACUAGACUAUAACAGUCCCUUAGUACAAUCCCAUUUUACCAGCAGGUCAAUAUGGAGGGGUCUAUCAUCCAGUACCUGUCCAUCCUCCCCACCAACCACCUGGACCUUACUAUGACCCUCGUUACCACGGUUACAAUCAGGGACCCCCUCCUCCUAUACCUGAUAUAUAUAGACCAGUCUUACCUGAUGGUGAUGAUGAUAAUGAAACUGAUGAUGCUCAAAGGCCAAUCGUUAAUCUACCUGCAGCUGUUACAUGCCCUAGAGGUGCUGUACCAUUACCUAAACAAGAAAAAGUUAGUACAUACAUAUGUGCAUCAACCACCUGCUGUAUCAUAUCAAUACUUUUACUAAUGGUACCAGUUAUACCAUUCACAUUCUGUGCUCUCAUUUGCUCAAUUGCUGCCAUUAAACAGGAGAACAAGAUGAAGUAUGUGUCUGCUCAUAAGAAAGGAUCCUGUGCUCUUGGUUGUAUGAUAGUUGCUGUUCCCGUUGGGAUUGGCUGGGCUGUUGUGACUGUGGUUGUAAUAUUCUUUGAAGUUUUAGGCAGGAUUAAUUUUUAAUUAACUAGGCCUAGUCUAGUAAAUAAUAACUGAUCUUUUAAUUAACUUGUUGUGGGCGUGUACUCAAAAUGGCCACCAAGGGCUCGUUGGAGGAAAGAUACAAAAAAAGAAAGCAGAAGCAAAAGGAGCUGUCCCUGAAACUAUCAACUAACCCAUUCGAUCAAGAAGGGGAGCAGCAGGAAGAGCAGCAAGAAGAGACAGCACUGGUCUCUCAGCCAACUGAAGUGCAGGAAACAUCAUUCCAGCCUUCACCUUACCCAGCACUAGUGGAUGAGCUCAGGAGCAGCAGUAGAAGUCGGUAUAGGACAUUCUCCAGUAGCAGCAGGUACAGGAGCAUUCCACCACAGAGAAAGGGUUCUGCAUGGAGUCUUUGUCUUAUUGUUUCAGUUAUUUUUGGAAUUAUUUGUCUCAUUCCAGCUCCGAUAUGCUCAGCUGCUAGUCUAGUGUUUGCUGUACAGGCAGUUGAGGCAGAAAAACAGCAUAACUUUAGAAGAAGAUACACAAAAGAGAAAUGGUCCCUUAGUUGCUGCCUCUUGAGUGUUAUUCUUGGUACACUCUGCUUAGCUGUAGUGUCUCUGAUAUUUGCAGCUGUAGAAACUAACAAAUUUAUUUCAAAUACUGACUCUUGACUAUUAUGAAUAAUUUAUUGUUUUUAAUUAUUGUUUUUACUAAUUAUUGUUUUAUUUUGCUGUAAAGAGAGUGAUAAGAAAUAACUAAUCAUAGCA
rnacentral:lncRNA from 1 species